rnacentral:lncRNA from 1 species
AAAAGGCCGCGGCAGGCGAAGAGAGAAGAGACCCAUCCCGGAAGCCGGCCGGGAGGUGAGCGUCCCGGAGUCGGGCGGCCGCUCCGUUGACUGCAGGGCCCCGGCGGUCUUCCUCCGCUGUUCCGAGGCCGUUGAGGGCUGAUGUGCUCCAUCCUCCCACUUGUGGUUUGGCAAGCCAUCCAGCCGACUACAAACCCACGUUUACUAUCAAGAUCUCCACUUAGGGAAGUGGGAAUCUUAUUUGCGGAACAUUGGGCAGAAGCUUUGCCAUUGGCUGGUGGAGAAGGAGGAGGCAGAAUGUCUGCAUUGUUACACCAUACAGCUCAAACUUCAGAAGAUUUUGGGUUAAGCAGUUAUCAUUAGUCUGCAAAUGAUCGUGUUUUCACCUGAUCAUUAGAAACUAAUGAAACACCUUUUAAGUCUUAUGAAUUCAGGUUACACUGUUUUCCAGAUGCCUUGGCAGCUGGUACAGGGCCUCUGAAAAAUGGAACCAAAUUCUCUGAGGACUAAAGUCCCAGCUUUCUUAUCUGAUUUGGGGAAGGCCACAUUGA